UACGUAGGGGGCAAGCGUUGUCCGGAAUCAUUGGGCGUAAAGCGCGCGUAGGCGGCUCGAUAAGUCCGUUCUGAAAGUCCAGGGCUCAACCCUGGGAUGCGGAUGGAUACUGUCGAGCUCGAGUCCGGAAGAGGCGAGUGGAAUUCCUGGUGUAGCGGUGAAAUGCGCAGAUAUCAGGAGGAACACCAAUGGCGAAGGCAGCUCGCUGGGACGUGACUGACGCUGAGACGCGAAAGCGUGGGGAGCAAACAGG
rnacentral:rRNA from 1 species